rnacentral:rRNA from 1 species
UACAGAGGGUGCAAGCGUUAAUCGGAAUUACUGGGCGUAAAGCGUGCGUAGACGGUUACAUAAGUCGGGUGUGAAAGCCCCGGGCUCAACCUGGGAAUUGCAUUCGAGACUGCGUAGCUAGGGUGCGGAAGAGGGAAGCGGAAUUUCCGGUGUAGCGGUGAAAUGCGUAGAUAUCGGGAGGAACACCGGUGGCGAAGGCGGUUCUCUGGGCCUGUACUGACGCUGAGGAGCGAAAGCGUGGGGAGCGAACAGG